GCCCCACACUCCAUAGCCAGUAAAGCUAUUCCUGAACUUAAAUGUGACCCUUCGUGAGCUUUGGUGAGAGCAGUACAUUCUACUGCAAUCGUCCAUGGCGAUGAAUGAGACUAAAUAAAUUGUAAAACUAUUAAACCCAGUGUUUAAUAUUUGCUGAAGUGCUUUACGUAUGAAAUGUGUCCUAUUUUUUCAUUUUAUGAAAAGUACUAGUUUUAAUAGAAAUUAGCACUUUUAUAAAUUAAAAUGAUUACUCCCCCUGGCUGUCGAUCAGACAAGAGGUCCUGUU